GCUAAGCUCGAAGUUCCAGGGAGUUGUCUGCAGCCGCCCACGGUGCGGGGCUCCCUUUCCUGCAACGUCCUAGCUGCAGAACCUUUGCUCCCAGGGCCCCUACCAGUGCUCCUCUCCGCAGCUAAGCAUUCCUACUGAGUCCAGCGCUUGUUUAAAAGAACCGCUCAAAGAAUCACUCUUAACCGUGCACCUGUCUCCCCUCCGUGCUGUCCUCAUACCAGGUGAGCUCAUGUCCAGAGAAGAGCGAAUGCUUGCUGAGCCCCUACUGUGUGCCAGACCGCGCGUUAAUCGUUUCCAUCUGAAUACAAGAUCUCAGAUCCUUGCAACAAUUCUAUGAGGCAGGUACUCCUUAGAGGGCCCAACGCGCCAGUCGGCCCCCACUAAGAGCAUCACUAUGGAAGGGAUGGAGCCCAAGGUGACCCUGGACAUGACAGAUGAGGAAACCUGGUCAUAAACAGACAAGCAGCUUGCCCAAGGGCACACAGUUUGAGAUCCUUCUUGCUGUACCGCCAUUGUGCUUGGUAUUUCAAAAAUCUACGCCCGCCGACCUCUGCUACUAAAUACCUGGACAAAGGAUGGGGAUGCUGGCCAGGCUUUCCCACCUCAACUUCAGGGCAAGAGGUCUGACAAUGAGCCAUCCAUGUUCUCGGCGUGUCUACCUGAAAGCAUCCACCCCUACAUCCUGUCUGUCAUCACGGCAUACCUCGGAGGUCGUGCGGGUUCGGUGUGGGGCCACCACAGGAAAGCCAAU